UCUCAGUUUAUGAAAUCAUUUUUACAAAUGUGUAUAAUUCUUUUGAGCUGUUUCCUUUUUAGUACCUCCUGUCUCCGUAGUGCAGCCAUUCAGGGCAAUACCUCAGACUGGAAUUCGUCCCUUAGAAGCUGAGUUGCAGAACUUCUGAUACCUGGCUUGGUGUCCAGCUUGCAGCAGCAAGGUGAAAUCCUCUCCCUGCCAAGACUUGUGGGAAGCUUGAUAUCAAUUUCAGCAAAACUACCUUUUCAUAUUUGCUAAGUUUGAGUGGAAAGGAUGUGUGUCUGCAAUAACCUGCUUAGAAAAGUAUGGAAUUCACUGGGGGAGGGGUUGGCUUGUAUUUUUUUCAGCUGUGUUGAUCUAUGGUUAUUGCCAAUGUAUGGUUCAUAUCUCAUUGAAUAUGUUAAUGAGUGGGGACAUAGCAAUUCUACAUGGCUCAAUUCAGGAUAAAGCUUUUUCUGAGGAGAGGGGCUGUGCACACCCAAUUCCUGGCUCUGUUUUCCCUGGUAAGCACUGCACUUUAUGUACAUUCUUGCUUUCCUUAAGGUUGUUUGUUUACACACAAAUACAGUGCAAACUGAACCACAGCCCAUGGAAUACAAUCUUUGCAACAGGCUAAGAACAUGGCUGCUCUUCAGUUUCUUUUUUUAAUAGUGUUUCCUAGACUGGGGGUGAUUUUUAAAGAGCUCAGCAUCCAAACAGAAGCCUAAAAAUAAAGCAAGGCUGUGCAUUUUAGCCUGAGUGUUUAAUACUGAUUUAUCUCUUGGAGGUGAUGCUGAGAAUGCAUUGGGAUGGCAUGUCUGCAUAUGCUGCCUCAUACCACAGCCUUGCUGCAUUCAUAUUGGCUACAGAGCCUUUCCUGUCUUCAUCAGAGAGUCCUUCUCUUGCCCAGCUUCCCUUCUGAGCCCUGGGCAUCUCCUGCUUUCACGAGGAACACACACACACACAUUUAAACUGUAGCAAUAUCUGUCCUUAUGAUAUGAUUAAGUUUUUUCUUCUCUGCGUUUUUCAGCUCAAGUAGAAGAUGAAGCUAUAUGAGGAAAAAAUUGAGUUCAAGAAGGGUUUCCUUUGGCCAUUAGACUGCUGCAUGCUCAAGUCUUCUGCUCAAAGUGACUGCAUUGGCUAGAUUUCAGGAGAACGAAACCUUCACCAGUGUGGAGAGUGCAUAAAUCAUUUGAAACAUGUCCUUUGCAGCAGGAAAGACAGACAUCCAAAUGAUAACAGAAAGCUGGGAAGGGAGGCAGGGCUGAAGGAGGAAACUGGACGAAGUGGGAGGGGAAGGAAGGUCUCCUGGGAGGACUUGUCUCGGCUGAUACAGCUCAGUGAUGAAGCACAACCAGCUUGGAGUUGGCAUGCAUUAACAAAACCAAGCAGCAAGGUGAUGGAUUAGAAACACAGUGCAGACAUUCCAGCGAGAGUCCGGCUCAAGAGCAGUUUCUUAGUAGGUGCUUUACUGUUUUGGCAUUUCCCACCAACCCAUUGCACUGGUGAUAACAGGAGCGAGGCAGAAAGGAAACUCCAGCCCUGAUCUUGCUGCAGAUGGCCAAGCCCAUCACAAGGACUAUUAUUUCACUUGGUAAAACUCAGUGAGAUGUGGUUAGCUGCUGUGUCUUCUAGUGAGUCAUAACAUGGAAAGGCAUUUAAUAAUCCCGAUCGUACACUGUUUUCUUAAUUACAGUAUGCCUGCAGUGUUCUGGUGGAAAGCUGUUCUUAGUGCAUUGAUUUUUGUCCUCGUUUGGCUGUUUUUUGCCUUAUGUGACAAUCCUGAACAACUAGUUCCGUGCCAUUUCUCCCUUAGGCUAGUGUGAAACAUUGCUCUCUGCUGUCCUACUGCCUUUAAACAAAAUCCUAUCAAAUGUGAAAAGGUCAAAUUGAGAUCAAAAGUGUAUUAG
rnacentral:lncRNA from 7 species